rnacentral:rRNA from 1 species
GUGGGGAAUAUUGGACAAUGGGCGAAAGCCUGAUCCAGCCAUGCCGCGUGUGUGAAGAAGGUCUUCGGAUUGUAAAGCACUUUAAGUUGGGAGGAAGGGCAGUAAGUUAAUACCUUGCUGUUUUGACGUUACCGACAGAAUAAGCACCGGCUAACUCUGUGCCAGCAGCCGCGGUAAUACAGAGGGUGCAAGCGUUAAUCGGAAUUACUGGGCGUAAAGCGCGCGUAGGUGGUUCGUUAAGUUGGAUGUGAAAGCCCCGGGCUCAACCUGGGAACUGCAUCCAAAACUGGCGAGCUAGAGUACGGUAGAGGGUGGUGGAAUUUCCUGUGUAGCGGUGAAAUGCGUAGAUAUAGGAAGGAACACCAGUGGCGAAGGCGACCACCUGGACUGAUACUGACACUGAGGUGCGAAAGCGUGGGGAGCAAACAGGAUUAGAAACCCCUGUAGUCC